rnacentral:rRNA from 1 species
GUCACGCUGUAAACGAUGAUCACUAGAUGUUGGUCGGGUUCGCCUGAUAAGUGUCGAAGCUAACGCGUUAAGUGAUCCGCCUGGGAAGUACGGUCGCAAGAUUAAAAACUCAAAGAAAUUGACGGGGGCCCGCACAAGCGGUGGAACAUGUGGUUUAAUUCGACACUACGCGAGGAACCUUACCUAGGCUUGACAUGUAACUGCUACUGGUGGAAACAUUGGGUUCUGUAGUAAUACAGACGGUUACACAGGUGCUGCAUGGCUGUCGU